rnacentral:lncRNA from 1 species
CAGAUUAGCUCCAGAAAGAAAGCAGUGUGAAAAAGAUGAAACACAGAUUUGAAAGGAAUCUUGAAGAUCAGACAGAAAACCAGCCUAUGAAUCAAAGAAGAAAAUCAAAAUCAGACUUCAUAACUGCUUCAGUAACCCUUGGCAACAGACAACACACUGGAUUUUGGCGAAUAACACUAAAAUUUUUGCUGGUGAGGUCUUCAGAAACUGGAUAGAUGUGAAACCACCAGAACAGAAGUGGAGCGGGCAUGGUAUCUGUUUCUUCAAUUUGUAGUUUUAUAGUCAAAAACUGGCAUGUAUAUACUUAAUUGGUAACAUGUAAGUCACGUGCCUCUAUCCCAACUCUAAGAGAGGUUGAGAACUUAAUUUCUGGCUUCUACCUUGGGAAGGAUCAGGCUUAUAAGCUGGAAAAUUAGCCAACAUACACAGGAUAUUCAAAGCUUCUAGGCAGUCAAAAUACUGUCAAGUGGUAAAACAGACAUGAAAAAACCUUUUUUUCUCUCCUAAAUUUAAAAAAAUAUAAUUUUUGUAAAACACUGUAUGUGGCUUUCCAUAAAAUUAAAAGAGUCUUGGGAGAGAGAACAUCUCAUAAGAUGAGGAACCAUCAAAAGACUUUAAAACAAGAUGGCGAUGACUACAUCAUCAAAACUGAGCAUUAUGAGUAAGACUCAGAAAAGCACAUAGGAGAAAUACUAGCAAGAGCAGAGAAGAGGCAGAUGGAUCAAUGAAGGAAAGAGACAAUGGUGACAAAAACUAGUAGAGAUGGAAAAUGGGCUGUAGAAAGACAUUUAAAGGAAGUAAAAUCAACUGAACUUUGUUCAUUCAGUACAUAUUGAGCAUUCACUAUGUGUCAGGCAAAGUUCUGGGUAUUUGAGAUUCAUCAGUGAAAAAAAUGAACAAAACAAACCAAAAAAGAAAAAAAAAUAUCUGCUUUUGGA